rnacentral:rRNA from 1 species
AUACGGAGGGGGUUAGCGUUGUUCGGAAUUACUGGGCGUAAAGCGUACGUAGGCGGAUUGGGAAGUUAGAGGUGAAAUCCCGGGGCUCAACCCCGGAACUGCCUUUAAUACUGCCAGUCUUGAGUUCGAGAGAGGUGAGUGGAAUUCCGAGUGUAGAGGUGAAAUUCGUAGAUAUUCGGAGGAACACCAGUGGCGAAGGCGGCUCACUGGCUCGAUACUGACGCUGAGGUACGAAAGUGUGGGGAGCAAACAGGAUUAGAAACCCUAGUAGUCC